GUACCAGACUCCUACGGGAGGCAGCAGUGGGGAAUAUUGCACAAUGGGCGCAAGCCUGAUGCAGCCAUGCCGCGUGUAUGAAGAAGGCCUUCGGGUUGUAAAGUACUUUCAGCGGGGAGGAAGGCGAUAAGGUUAAUAACCUUGUCGAUUGACGUUACUCGCAGAAGAAGCACCGGCUAACUCCGUGCCAGCAGCCGCGGUAAUACGGAGGGUGCAAGCGUUAAUCGGAAUUAAUGGGCGUAAAGCGCACGCAGGCGGGCUGGCAAGGCGGAUGUGGAAACCCCGGGCUCAACCUGGGAACUGCAUUCGAAACUGGCAGGGUGGAGUCUUGUAGAGGGGGGGAGAAAUCCAGGGGUAGCGGUGAAAUGCGUA
rnacentral:rRNA from 1 species